AGUGAGGCUGAGGUGUGGGAGAGCUGGAAAAGUGAGAUGCUUAUGCCACUUUUUAGGAGUGCAGGCCCCGUGAAAUGGAGCCAUCUAAACCUGUCUGACAGGAGUGAGGGCGGGAUUCUGUCCAGACUUGUCAAAAUUCUGCCCAAACUAGAGAAUCUCGGGGCCUUCCCAAGUCCUGAUUCUGUCCGUGCCAAGUGAGACUUGCAGAGAGGGCACUGUGACAGUCCCAGAGUCCUUGCUAAGGGCCAGGGACCAGGGACUGAGACAGUGAAGGAAUGGGGCAUCAUCCCUAUACACAAAGGAGGUAGAAGCUGCAACCUGUUUUGCCAUGAAACCAGCAGCUACAGGCUCCCAGAUCUCCAAAUAUAUGGUUCUAGAAGAGGGUGCUAAACCUAGUACCCUGCAUCCACGGGUGGACACGUGACCCAGGUGGGACCGAUGAGAGCCCUCCUUGGCAUUUUUCAUGUUGGCGCAAAUAGAUGAGGGAAGCACCUCGUGGCAGGUGAAGCUGGGAGAUGCUCCAGGCUCGUGGGAGAAGCCAGUCUGCCAGAGAAAGGAGCUGAUUUGCAGAGAGAAGCAGGGAUGAGAGAAGAGGAGAGCGCCACCUUUCCCUGUCCUGCUGUUGAUACUCUGAACCAGUAAACUCUCCUUUUGCCUCA